CCUACGGGUGGCAGCAGUGAGGAAUAUUGGUCAAUGGCCGUAAGGCUGAACCAGCCAAGUAGCGUGAGGGAAGACUGCCCUAUGGGUUGUAAACCUCUUUUAUGCGGGGAUAGAGGUGUCCGCGUGUGGCUGUUUGCAGGUACCGCAUGAAUAAGGACCGGCUAAUUCCGUGCCAGCAGCCGCGGUAAUACGGAAGGUCCGGGCGUUAUCCGGAUUUAUUGGGUUUAAAGGGAGCGUAGGCCGGUCUUUAAGCGUGCCGUGAAAUUUUGUGGCUCAACCAUGAGAGUGCGGCGCGUACUGGUGAGCUUGAGUGCGCGGAAGGCAGGCGGAAUUCGUGGUGUAGCGGUGAAAUGCUUAGAGAUCACGAAGAACCCCGAUUGCGAAGGCAGCCCGCUGAAGCGUUACUGACGCUGAAGCUCGAAAGCGCGGGUAUCGAACAGGAUUAGAUACCCUAGUAGUC
rnacentral:rRNA from 1 species